rnacentral:rRNA from 1 species
UACGAAGGGGGCUAGCGUUGUUCGGAUUUACUGGGCGUAAAGCGCGCGUAGGCGGAUCUUUUAGUCAGAUGUGAAAUCCCAAGGCUCAACCUUGGAACUGCCUUUGAUACUGGGGAUCUUGAGUCCGGGAGAGGUGAGUGGAACUGCGAGUGUAGAGGUGAAAUUCGUAGAUAUUCGCAAGAACACCAGUGGCGAAGGCGGCUCACUGGACCGGUACUGACGCUGAGGUGCGAAAGCGUGGGGAGCAAACAGG